UCAAGAAAUGUGGACUAUGAUAAAGAAAACAGCCAAGAAGAAGAAAAUCUAAUGAAUAGCGAAACUUUUGUCAAUGAAGUCUUUGAUGAGCAGGAAUCCUUAACCUCUUUACAAACUGAAUGACCUCGUUAACAAAGAGCUGACACCUCUCAAUAAAUAUUGUCUGUCCA